GCACUACUGAAGAGUCCCAUUCUAGGAUGAAACGGCCGUCUAGUGC
rfam:Schistosoma haematobium scaffold2132_1, whole genome shotgun sequence.